rnacentral:tRNA from 1 species
ACCGGCGGCUGCCGUGGUGGGACGGGCCGGUUCAGGGCGCCGGCGGCGCCCGUUCGGUCGCCGCCGGCGCGCUGGUA